CGACCUCAAGUCGGUCGAGGCUAACCGCUAAAUUUAAGCAUAUAC
rnacentral:rRNA from 1 species